rnacentral:rRNA from 1 species
GAAUAUUGGACAAUGGGGGGAACCCUGAUCCAGCCAUGCCGCGUGAUAGAAGAAGGCCGUUUGGUUGUAAAGCACUUUAAGCGAGGAGGAGGUGAUUUUGGUUAAUACACAAGAUGCUUGGACGUUACUCGCUGAAAGAGCACCGGACAACUCUGUGCGUUGUGCCUCUGUAAUACAGAGGGUGCAAGCGUUAAUCGGAUUUACUGGGCGUAAAGCGCGCGUAGGUGGCCAAUUAAGUCAAAUGUGAAAUCCCCGAGCUUAACUUGGGAACUGCAUUCGAUACUGGUUGGCUAGAGUAUGGGAGAGGAUGGUAGAAUUCCAGGUGUAGCGGUGAAAUGCGUAGAGAUCUGGAGGAAUACCGAUGGCGAAGGCAGCCAUCUGGGCUAAUACUGACACUGAGGUGCGAAAGCAUGGGGAGCAAACA